UUGCAGUUGUAGAGUUGAUUUAUUUUGUCAAUGAACUAUUUGUUGAAAUUUUGUUAUUGAUAAUUUAGAUUGAUUAUCAGGCAAGUUAUAUUUGGCUCCCCUUAUAACAGUUGGUAAUUUACCCUUCAGAAGAUUAUGCAAAUCUCAUGGAGCAGAUGUUACAUGUGGUGAAAUGGCUAUGUGUACUAAACUUUUCCAGCGGUGUUUUAGCGCUUUGUUAAAAAUGGCUGCAUUUUAUGGCUGUAUCGCACCUGCCUUUACUCAUACUUUAUUUGGAAUGAAAUUUGUUUUUACUCCUUCAGAUUUUAGAAUUCAUGGAUUGAGGUAGAAGAAGUACUUGAAAAUGAACUUCCAACAGUAAAACAAACUCAAGCAUGACACAAGAGAAAAAAGGACGCAUGAUUGCUUGAAAAAAGGAGGUUUUGCUUCAGUUGUCGCGGUACGUAAUAAAUUGGAAGUCUGUCUCUAUGGUUUCCAUCAAAAGAAUUCCUUUGAAUCCGAAAAGUGUGCUGUUUAAUCGCAAAAUUACUCGGGAAGAGAAGUUACUUUCUUGAUUGAAUCAUGAAAAUAUCAUAAGCGAAGAUUGAUAGUAAUUAUGUCUGAGAAAAAGAUUUGCAUGGAAAGAGCAAUGUCACAUCAGCCUAGUAAGUCAGCCCUCCGUCAGGGACCGUCGUACCUCCGUCGAGGAAUUCCAGGCGCCACCCCUGUUUAGAACGAUUGGCGCCGUAACCGGGGUCGUACCGUUUGUUGCAUCUUAUUGGGCCGCUGUUCCAGCUGUCUUAGAACUAUGGCUUAUUAGCAACGCAGGAAUACAAGCUGUUUUUCUUGUUAUAUGUCACAUUCUGCCAACUUAUGUCGUUGAUACUGUUAUAUCUAGUGAGAUAAAAGGAUCCACUCUAUCAUACUACAGCAAGGAAAUUUGUACAACAGGCUUGUAUUCCAUGCAUUCAGUGAGAUAUGCCAUCAUGUUUUUGCAAAGUGUUCACAGAAUGGAAAAGUGUCCGAUGAGAUUAUAUAACAUCCUUUAAAAGAUUUCUUGUUUUUUAGUUACUUAUAUCUACAAUGACAAUCUUAUAAUAUGAGAUAAAUUAUAACAGUCCAUACAGACCACAGUACGAAAUAUAGUACAAAACUAAAGAAAUAUAAUGUAAAUGAAGUAAUACAUGUAUGCCACAUUUUGUCUCUAAAACGUCGGAAUAUAAACGUGAAUACAGCCUUUGAUUAGUACGGCCUACCACAGGUUCUGUAAUACAGAUAUUUGUGUACACCUAUCGUAAACUAAGUCAUUUUAUAAAGAAAGAAAUGAUAAUAAAGAUAGUUUUGGGUAUUAAUAAACUCUAGGCAAAUUUGA